GUAGGGAUGUGUGGCCAGCAGGGGAAGGGCGGGGCCUUCGCACCGUGUUGCCGAAGCCAGGUUUUUCUUCAGUGGGCUCCUGGGAGGCCUCUUGGCCAAAAGAAGCUUGAAGGACCCUAAGAAAACCAUCCGACCUUAUGCAAAUAGAAGACUGAAUCUCAGGAAGUGGGGUGCCUCACUGAUACUCUCCUGGAAUGUAGCCAGUACUGUGGAACCCAUUGUAUCCCCUCUGCCCACCUGUCCAAGGGAGAGGUCACAGAUUUAUGUAUGUGACUACACUGUCUUCAGACAAGC
rnacentral:lncRNA from 1 species